rnacentral:rRNA from 1 species
UACGUAGGGUCCGAGCGUUGUCCGGAAUUACUGGGCGUAAAGAGCUCGUAGGUGGUUUGUCGCGUUGUCCGUGAAAACUCACAGCUUAACUGUGGGCGUGCGGGCGAUACGGGCAGACUGGAGUACUGCAGGGGAGACUGGAAUUCCUGGCGUAGCGGUGGAAUGCGCAGAUAUCAGGAGGAACACCGGUGGCGAAGGCGGGUCUCUGGGCAGUAACUGACGCUGAGGAGCGAAAGCGUGGGGAGCGAACAGG